AGAAGCAGGGAGCUCUGUUUGCAUCAAGUCAGAUAAAAGGUUUUAACGGCAAUGAAGCACUGGACUUUUCAGAUUUAUCAGAUGUUUCUCUUGAGAUAGUUGUUUCAUUUCCCAGAGGAGCUGCCCUCAGAUUCCAUCCUGGAUACUUCAAAGUCUAUUUUGCCUCAUCAGUGAGGAGUUCACAUCACUUUGUGAUCAAGGGCAGGGUCUUCCUUCUCACUGACCCAGGUAUCAUCGAGGAGGUGGAAAGUGUGCAAGAGCAGAGCUACACGGAAACUGUUCUUCAGACACCUCAGCAACAUAGGAGCUCAAGUUGAUCGCGACAGGAUGCACAAGGUCCGUGUAAGCUCCAAGCAGACAAAAUCCCAACAUGAAGAGACACCCUAUCCUCAAGACUUCAACCAAGGGAUAAAAUUUGAUGAGUGGCACUGAGGAUGUAAAAGGGGCUGACCGUCAAAGCCAACGACGCUGACUAGAAGGCUGGCAAUUGUGGCUUCCUCGUUUCCUCCUGCUUCCUGCUCAAUUUCACCUCAUCUGUAGUCCAUACCUGAUGGUUUCAUUUAAAACAGCCAUCCAGCCUCGACCUUGGCCCCUUCACAAAAUCGAGUAUGAUUUAUUUUCAUCUGCAGCAGAUGCUCCCCCCCACCCCCCGAUACACUGAAUAUUCUGUCUGUCACCCAACCAGAAUGUCAAUGUCUCAGCCUCUUCCUGUAGGCUCCAUUAAUGUAUUUGUGACACCGAGACUAAUGCUCUCAAUGAGAGAACUGUUUAAUAAAUAUUUUAGCGAAUG